GUACGCGGGCAAGAUGGAGGCGACUACGGCUGGUGUGGGCCGGCUAGAGGAAGAGGCGUUGCGGCGAAAGGAACGGCUGAAGGCCCUACGGGAGAAAACCGGGCGCAAGGACAAGGAAGAUGGGGAGCCAAAGACCAAGCAUCUCAGAGAAGAGGAGGAAGAAGGCGAGAAGCACAGGGAACUUAGGCUGCGGAACUAUGUCCCGGAGGAUGAGGACCUGAAGAAGAGGAGGGUGCCCCAGGCCAAACCGGUUGCAGGUAAGCAGGCUGCCCCUCUCCACCUCUGCUUCCUGGCACUGUCAGCCGCCCUUCACCUCAGCAGGCUUUGCUCUCUGAGAAUAACCAGCAGUACCAGGACAGGAAUUGGGCCUUUGUUACCAUCUCAUGGCAGAUGCGCACAGUCGGCCUUCGGCAGCAGCAGAGGCUGUCGGGGCACUGAAGAGGCCUCUUGUGCCUUCUCAGUCCUGCUCACACCCUGAGAUCGAGGCCUCCCAGGGAUCUGAGUGGGGUUUGAAAAAGGCCACAUCCUCUCAGAGGACUCCUGGCUGAGAAGUGGAUGUGGUCAUGGGGCCCUUGGGCAGCAGGGCAGGGUGAUGGGUCCUGUGGGCCCUGGGGGGGUCAGAGACAGGGGCCAGUCACUCAGCCACACACAGCAGUGGACAGGCAGUGUGGAGCACUGAGGCAGGGGAGAGGGCCUGGCCCAGGGCUUGCCUAGUCUCUUGCCAUGGCGUGGGAGCAGCACAGCCACCAGGAGCUUCUGGCCGUCCACACCAUUCAUGC
rnacentral:sRNA from 1 species